rnacentral:lncRNA from 1 species
GGCCAGUGUUCUCCUGACAACGACACCUUCCUGUUGUCCCCUCUGGUGUCCUGCUGGUCCCUCAGACACAGCACUCACAACAGUGGGUGCGACAGCAUGUGUGUCUGACGCCAUGCAUACAGAGUGAGUUUCAACGGCAGGAACCAGGUCUGAGCCAUUCUCGCAUCCACAGCAAUCAACGCAGUAUCUGGGGCACAGGAGACGCUCACACAGUGAAUAAAAUAAUGAAUAAGCGAAGUUAAUAAGAUUAGUACAUAAAUAAUAGAUAAGAACAUUACCGAUAAACCGCUAACUCAAGUGUAUGUACGUAAUUAACUCAAAGAAAUAAUUACGAUAUGUGUUAGCACAAGGUAGCAUGUAUGUCGCAGAGUGAUGUGGCUAGAAGUCAGGUCAGGGUACUUCAGAAAUCCUGUCAUAUACGCCGCACGGAACACCUGCGCUAGCACGGCCCAGAGUCAUUCGCAAACAUCUUUGGGAUGUCACCGGCAGAAUAAAAGUAACAAAUCGUAAGAGUGUGGCUUGAUUGACUUUUCCAGACGUGUGUACCCAUGGAGCCAGCACCAGAUGGGAGGCUGAACAUCUUCACCCCAGCCCACCCCUCCCACACGCAUCCUCCAAGGACACGGCACGCCCGAGGAGUGUUUCUAGAAUGCGGGCCAAGGUUGCAGUGGGGGCACCAGCAAGGGUAGAAUAAGUGUGAGACUCAUGAAGAACUGAUGAUGGUGGGCACAACUGUGGAUGAUUGAGGAUGCAAAACAAUGGAGGACUCAACACUCAUGGGACCAGGAGACGAAGGUCACCCUUGUGUUGUCUCUCACCUACCCCAAUGUUCCUGAGUCGCCUACCAGCUUGGACUCAGGUAUCUGAAAACAAGAAGAGGGAUGUGAAAUUCGUAUCCCCUUCGUAGGUCCCUGAACACCUGUUGCUGUGGCAUUACUCUCUUCUUAU